GCACCUUUAUUAGACAUUGGUGUCCCUUGAAGUCUUAUUUUGGUUCUUUAAUUUGGUGUUUAAGACAUAUGUUAUGUAAAACUUGUAAAGAAAAGAAUUGGAGAGGGAUUUUGGUAGCAAAAAGAGAGUUUAAGGCAUCCAUAUAGAUGAAUGGAGAUGGAUGAUGAAAACCUCCAUUUCUAUUGGUCAAAAAUCAUGACCAAUGGACUUUGAGGAGGCUGCCCGAGGCCAUAUUAGAGAUUAGGGUUAGUUUUUUGGAGAAAUUUGAGCUUUGGAGGCUAGGAUCAGCAAUUUUAGGUUUUUGGCUAUGGUUUUGGUGCACAUUUUGAGUCAUUUGGAGUUUAUAUGAAAGAGAUAUGGAUGCUCAAAGUUAGGGUGUUGAUUUUGUACUUACUAUCAAUAUUUUGGAUAUAACACAUGUGUACAGAAAGCAACAGAGGAUCGGCGACUAGGAUUGAAAAGAGCACUCUCUCGGCUAUACUUUUGGCAUACUUUUUGAUGGAUUUUAAGUUUUAAUGAAGGAGAUAUUGGAGGUUGAAGUCAGUGCUUACAAAUCUAAGGGUUGUAAGUGACCUGAAUUGCUAGUAGUUGUGUUUUGAACUAUAUCUUAUG
rnacentral:lncRNA from 1 species